rnacentral:rRNA from 1 species
GAUGAACGCUAGCUACAGGCUUAACACAUGCAAGUCGAGGGGUAACGAGAGGAAAGCUUGCUUUCCUUGUCGACGACCGGCGCACGGGUGAGUAACGCGUAUCCAACCUGCCCCCAACUAGGGAAUAACCUUGCGAAAGUAAGACUAAUACCCUAUAAUUUCCUCAGAUGUCAUCUGACGAGGAAUAAAGAUUUAUCGGUUGUGGAUGGGGAUGCGUCUGAUUAGCUCGUUGGCGGGGUAACGGCCCACCAAGGCAACGAUCAGUAGGGGUUCUGAGAGGAAGGUCCCCCACAUUGGAACUGAGACACGGUCCAAACUCCUACGGGAGGCAGCAGUGAGGAAUAUUGGUCAAUGGGCGGAAGCCUGAACCAGCCAAGUAGCGUGCAGGAUGACGGCCCUAUGGGUUGUAAACUGCUUUUAUACAGGAAUAAAGUUAGCCACGUGUGGUUAUUUGUAGGUACUGUAUGAAUAAGGACCGGCUAACUCCGUGCCAGCAGCCGCCGUAA